GCGUGUGUGAUGAAGGCCUUAGGGUUGUAAAGCACUUUUGUCCGGGAAGAUAAUGACUGUACCGGAAGAAUAAGCCCCGGCUAACUUCGUGCCAGCAGCCGCGGUAAUACGAAGGGGGCUAGCGUUGCUCGGAAUCACUGGGCGUAAAGCGCACGUAGGCGGAUUACUAAGUCGGAGGUGAAAGCCUGGGGCUCAACCCCAGAAUUGCCUUCGAUACUGGUAGUCUCGAGUUUGGAAGAGGUUGGUGGAACUCCGAGUGUAGAGGUGAAAUUCGU
rnacentral:rRNA from 1 species